rnacentral:misc_RNA from 1 species
CACUAACCAUCUUAUGAGUUGAAAAGAAAAAAAUAUAUAUACAUUCCCAGAUAGAACUCCCUCUCGGGGCCCCUCUGGAUCUCAGCAUGAUGCCUUAUGAUUUUGUGUGUGUGCACGCACACAUACCUGUUCACUUGUAGAGCUUGUGUGUUUGUUUUGCUCUUGGUGGGAGGGAUAUGAUUUGUCAGUUUGAACCAAAAGUCUACUACAUUAACAUACUAAAACUUCUAUGUUUCUGUUUGAAUAUAAAUUACUCCUGCAGUCAUGAUGUGGAAAUCAAAGUAACAACUAACACUGAAAUUUUGUUAAUUCCCCUAAAAUGACUCAUUUAUUUUAUUUGAUAGUCAUACUUAUGUGAACUUGAUAAUUCCUUGUCCUCUUUGUCUUUGAAAGAACUGAAAUCUAAAUUUUUAUCCUUUUACCUGCAAUAUUAAAUUUUUUGAAGAUUGAUAAAAUCAAAUUCAAAUGCAUUGACUUCAUUUUCACUUUUUCAGUAAUAACUUCAUCUUAUUCAUUCUUAAAAGUUAAAACUAUUCUCAUCUAGAUCCUUUGCAACCCCCUUUUCUUCAGCAUGGUCACUUUGAUAUUAUUAAUCUCUUCUUGCACUAGAAUAGUCACUUCUAAUGCUUUUUUCUCCUCUUGGACUUGAACAUUUUGCAAAUCACCAAUUAAUUUCUAAAAAUCCAGGCUCCUAUCUUUAUUAAUUAUGUUCUUUUUUUGUGCUAUAGAUAUAGAUUAUUGUUUUCUUCUGUUGGAUGAAAUGUUUUGGAAUUAGUGCUCAAACUUUCUUUGUAAGCGAUUGAAACUCUCGAUCUUAGAUACUAAGUUGUUUCUUCUGUUUAUGAUGAAAAAUUUGGGUAUGGUUAAUGCAUAUUUGUGUUCACGAAAUAUCAUGAUUCAUCAUUGUUAUUAUAGUGUACUUGCAACUCAUCUCAUAGUAUAAAAUGAAUGAUCAUUUGGCAACAAUGAUCAUACAUAUAAUGUCCACAAAGGGAAUUUCUUGCUGAAAUGAACUAUUUUGAAUGUAGGUGUGAAAUUGUCACGAGUAACAUUUGGAUUGUGUUGUUUUUCUCCACAAAUCCAUAAAGAAGAAAGAUAUAUUACAGCAUGUUUUCCAUAAUCCGAUGUAAAAUGUGGUGGGAAAACAGUAAGAUCCAAUAGACUAACGAGUAACAUUUGAAUUGUGUUGUUUUUCUCCACGAAUCCAUAUACAGAAUGUUUUCCAUAAUCAGAUGUAAAAUGUGAUGGAAAACUAUCCAAUGCAAGUCCUGGAGAAUAUGAUUUAUCUUCUGCAUCCACCAUAUGACUGUAUUACGUACAUACCUUCUGAAGAAAUGCACGUUUAAUCAUAACAAACUUCUAUCUCUAUCUUUUACUAACCCCAGAUUGGACUAUUCUUCUAUCCCAUGCACUAUACAGGGUGUUUUAAUUGAGAUCUUAGAUAAAAAUCUCAAAAUACAACUCCUAAAUCUUAAAAUCCUAGAAAAAUCUAUAGAUAUAAUUUCCAAUCGUCAUUUGCGUUGUUUGAAUAAAAAAGUUAUAUCAUUUAAGGAUGAUUAGUUCUUUCUUUUUGUGGCUAUUUAUUUACAGUCUCUGUCUAUGUUGUUAAAUUCAUGUAGUUAUUUCAUCUUGUUUGCAUACCUGCAAAAGUUUUAUCUAUAUUAAGUAAUGGCAAAAUUCCUUCUUAGGUCAUGGAAGAAGUGUUGCUGUG